rnacentral:rRNA from 1 species
CACGGGGGUUGCGAGCGUUAUCCGGAUUUAUUGGGUUUAAAGGGUGCGUAGGCGGCUUUUUAAGUCAGCGGUGAAAUUUUGCAGCUUAACUGUAACAGUGCCGUUGAUACUGGGGAGCUAGGAUUUGGUUGCUGUUGGUGGAAUGUGUGGUGUAGCGGUGAAAUGCUUAGAGAUCACACAGAAUAUCGAUUGCGAAGGCAGCUCACAAAGCCAAGAUUGACGCUGAGGCACGAAAGUGUGGGGAUCAAACAGGAUUAGAUA